rnacentral:lncRNA from 1 species
UCGCCAGCUAUCUGGCCUGCUCCACUAAGCAACAGGCGGCUUUCUGCUCGCGGUCUCGGGAGGACCUGGGGGACAAUUUUCGGGAGAUGCUCCUCAUGGUGAGUUAUUUUACUAUCCUUCAGUCUGUUUUAUUUUCGUUGUAUUCUUACUCUGUUUAUUGCCCCCUUUUUUUUUUUGUCAGGAGCUAGACAUUACAUGGAGAUCGAUGCUCGGGACCAGUCUCUCCAGAGCUCGAUGGACCAAUUGGUUGAUGCGACCCGCCAUGAGGAGAACAUCGUGGCGACUGGUGAGGCUCGUGGGUACAUAAUCGACCUCAAGAAUCAACUUAAGGAUCUCAC